UAUUUAAAUGGAAUUGGGAGUAGGAAUGUGACAGAAAUAGUAUUUUAUAAAAUUUAUUUCGUUGUCACUCCCCAACUUGCACAUUAUUGUAAGCUGACUUUCCGCCAGCUUCUAUGUUGGGGCCCCGCCAACUUGCAUUGUCUGUAGAAUUUCUUUUUGAAAUUCUCUAUGUUGGGGCCCCGCCUAUAAUUGAAAAAUGCUUGUUACAUGGGCAUUUUCAUUCGGUCAACUACUACCAAUAUAAUAUUGUAGAGCCUAAGACAUUGAUUUAU
rnacentral:ncRNA from 1 species